GGGGCUUAGUGGUGGGGUGACUGCGUACCUUUUGUAUAAUGGGUCAGCGACUUAUAUUCUGUAGCAAGGUUAACCGAAUAGGGGAGCCGGAGGGAAACCGAGUCUUAAUUGGGCGUUAAGUUGCAGGGUAUAGACCCGAAACCCGGUGAUCUAGCCAUGGGCAGGUUGAAGGUUGGGUAACACUAACUGGAGGACCGAACCGACUAAUGUUGAAAAAUUAGCGGAUGACCUGUGGCUGGGGGUGAAAGGCCAAUCAAACCGGGAGAUAGCUGGUUCUCCCCGAAAGCUAUUUAGGUAGCGCCUCGUGAAUUCAUCUCCGGGGGUAGAGCACUGUUUCGGCUAGGGGGCCAUCCCGGCUUACCAACCCGAUGCAAACUGCGAAUACCGGAGAAUGUUAUCACGGGAGACACACGGCGGGUGCUAACGUCCGUCGUGAAGAGGGAAACAACCCAGACCGCCAGCUAAGGUCCCAAAGUCAUGGUUAAGUGGGAAACGAUGUGGGAAGGCCCAGACAGCCAGGAUGUUGGCUUAGAAGCAGCCAUCAUUUAAAGAAAGCGUAAUAGCUCACUGGUCGAGUCGGCCUGCGCGGAAGAUGUAACGGGGCUAAACCAUGCACCGAAGCUGCGGCAGCGAACGUAUCACCCAAGACAACUUUACGGAGUUGACGAUUGACGGAGCGAAGCGACGUCAAAGCGUUCAUUAAAGUCGAGUUGGCUUAGGGAUACGUUCGUUGGGUAGGGGAGCGUUCUGUAAGCCUGUGAAGGUGUGUCGUGAGGCAUGCUGGAGGUAUCAGAAGUGCGAAUGCUGACAUAAGUAACGAUAAAGCGGGUGAAAAGCCCGCUCGCCGGAAGACCAAGGGUUCCUGUCCAACGUUAAUCGGGGCAGGGUGAGUCGACCCCUAAGGCGAGGCCGAAAGGCGUAGUCGAUGGGAAACGGGUUAAUAUUCCCGUACUUGGUGUUACUGCGAAGGGGGGACGGAGAAGGCUAUGUUGGCCGGGCGACGGUUGUCCCGGUUUAAGCGUGUAGGUGUGUGUUCCAGGUAAAUCCGGUUCACUUUAACACUGAGGCGUGACGACGAGGCACUACGGUGCUGAAGCAACAAAUGCCCUGCUUCCAGGAAAAGCCUCUAAGCAUCAGGUAACAC
rnacentral:rRNA from 1 species